rnacentral:rRNA from 1 species
AAUCCCAUUGAUGUACUAAACAUUAAGUUGAAGAGAUUCAAAAAAUUCUUUAAAGGAUGGGGUGCAAAUCUUUUUGGCAAAUCAAGAAAGAGGAGAAAGGACCUCAGGGAGGAGUUAGGGCAUCUGGAAAAACUGGAAGAAAUGGAUGUGUUGUCUCCUGAGCUAUAUGAGAGGAAAGUUGAGAUAUCGGCAGAAUUAUAUAAUCUGUUGGUGGAGGAGGAGGUGGCUUGGAUGCAAAAAUCACACGAAAAUUGGCUCUUGAAAGGAGAUAGAAAUACUGACUACUUCCACAGAAUUGUGAAUGGGAGGAGGCGGAGAAAUACUAUUUUUUCUCUUAGUUGUGGGGAUGUGAUUAUUGAAGGGAAUAAUAAUCUCUUGGAACAUGCCACAAAAUUCUAUAAGGACCUUUUUGGGCCAGCAGUUGGGAACUUAUGUAAAAUGAAGGAAGAUAUGUGGGAAUCACAAGAGAAAUUGUCAGACAUUGACAACUUUAUCCUUACUAGACCCUUUUCUGAAACAGAAGUCAAGAAUGCGCUAUUCUCUAUGAAACCAAAUAAAGCUCCUGGUCCAGAUAAUAUUCCUAUUGAGUUUUUCCAACAUUGUUGGGAAAUAGUGAAAAAUGAAGUGAUGAUGUUAUUUGACUGGUUCCAUGAUAACAAACUGGAUGUGCAGCGUCUCAAUUAUGGGAUCAUAACUCUACUGCCUAAGGUUGUAGGGGCAAACAAGAUUCAGCAAUUUAGGCCUAUAUGCUUGCUUAGAUGUAUAUACAAGCUGAUCACCAAAGUACUGACUAUUAGGCUGGAACCUUUUGUGGAUAUUCUUUUCAGUAGACACCAGAAUGCUUUCAUUAAGAAGCGUGACAUCAUGGAUGGGAUCAUGUCCCUGCAUGAAAUCUUGCACCAUACUUACAAUAGGAAGAAAACUGGUAUUGUGUUGAAACUUGACUUCGAAAAGGCUUACGAUAAAGUCAACUAG